AACAUCGCGCACCUGCGGGAACCUGCGGAGGGAUCAUUACAGAGUUGCAAAACUCCCUAAACCAUUGUGAACGUUACCUAGACCGUUGCUUCGGCGGGCGGCCCGGGUCCUUCCCGGCGCCCCUCGGCCCUCGCGGGCGCCCGCCGGAGGUAAACCAAACUAUUGCAUUGUAUGGCCUCUCUGAGUCUUCUGUACUGAAUAAGUCAAAACUUUCAACAAUGGAUCUCAGAUCGGAAGAGC
rnacentral:misc_RNA from 1 species